rnacentral:lncRNA from 1 species
CCUGUAAUACAAAGUCUCAUUUCUGUCAUGCAGUCUGUUCAGAAUCCUCCACUUUGCUAGUGACACAACAUUAGGGUGUUCAUUACGCGUGUUAUUCUCCAGGGACCUAUAUGAGUCCACUAACACACCAAAAACAUGUAGACAUACAUAUACACAUCAGAUUUCAAGCUAAAAGUUGUCUCUUGAAAAGUUAGUUUCAGUAGGGCAAGUUUAAGCGUUAACCAGGUAAAAUACUAGUCAAAUAAUUCAAAAUUUUUGAUAAACAGAUCAAUGGCAUGACGAGAUACGAUGGAUCAUUUUAGUAAAUAGCGACUACCCAUUUAGCAGAAAGUUGAUCCAUUAACGUUUUUGUUCAUGGAGACUAUUAGGAACAUGCCUUUAGGGACGGAUGGACAUAAGAUACCUGCAACCUGCAUUAAGAAAGUGUUUGCGGCGCCUGAUCACUGCUAGCAACGGUAUCGACAUAUAAUCAGACAAAAUGUAUAUUAUAACAAGUUUCAGAGCGUUUCUUCCGUAAGAUGACUGGCUAGGGUUAUAUGCAUAAAAGGGGAAGAAAAUGAAAGGUAAAGAAACCCUCACAAAAUCAUGCAUAAUGAUAACUUCAAUUGUCAUUCUUCUUGCAUAGUUGGAAUAUUUUGCCUAUGGUUACAAUUAGUUCUGCAAUGGAGAAAAUGAUUUUCAUUGAAUCAUAUUGUCAAUUUUACCAAGGAAAAUGAUUAGACACAGAUUUCCGGAUGCCUUUUCAUAUUUUAUGCAGAUGCCGUCAGAUAUUUUAGUGGCAUAGAAGUGUUACUGUCUCUUAGUUCUUAAAGCGAGGUGAAAUUUGAAGCAUUUGGUGGAAUUGGUUCUCGUUUCACUCUUCCCUACGACUUGAUGCUUCAUUGUGGUCAUAUUUCCUUUUUCCUUUGCUCGACAAACGAAUGAAGGCUCUCUGUUUCUUUAUCCUCUGCCGAGUAAGCGAGGAAAAGACAUAAAUAUUAAUAUGCACAAUCAUGUACCGGGACGUAAGCAUAGAACAUAAUACAUAAUCACAAAACAAAUUCAAACAUGCAUGAGCAACAAUAGGUUUUAAAGGGGACAGCAAAAGGUUUGUAACUUACUGAAACGGUCAUACUGACGUUCGAAGGAUAUUACACGAGGUGGAAGUAGCCCACGGAGCCCCAGACGAUCUCUUUCAGUCAACGGAAAAGCAGUGUCCU